rnacentral:rRNA from 1 species
UACGAAGGGGGCUAGCGUUGUUCGGAAUUACUGGGCGUAAAGCGCACGUAGGCGGACUACUAAGUCAGGGGUGAAAUCCCGGGGCUCAACCCCGGAACUGCCUUUGAUACUGGUAGUCUCGAGUCCGGAAGAGGUGAGUGGAAUUCCGAGCGUAGAGGUGAAAUUCGUAGAUAUUCGGAGGAACACCAGUGGCGAAGGCGGCUCACUGGUCCGGUACUGACGCUGAGGUGCGAAAGCGUGGGGAGCAAACAGG